UACGAAGGGGGCUAGCGUUGUUCGGAAUUACUGGGCGUAAAGCGUGCGCAGGCGGCUUCUCAAGUCAGGGGUGAAAGCCCAGAGCUCAACUCUGGAAUUGCCUUUGAGACUGAGUGGCUUGAGUACGGGAGAGGUGAGUGGAAUUCCCAGUGUAGAGGUGAAAUUCGUAGAUAUUGGGAAGAACACCGGUGGCGAAGGCGGCUCACUGGCCCGUAACUGACGCUCAUGCACGACAGCGUGGGGAGCAAAAAGG
rnacentral:rRNA from 1 species